rnacentral:rRNA from 1 species
GUGAGGAAUAUUGGUCAAUGGGCGGAAGCCUGAACCAGCCAAGUCGCGUGAAGGAAGACGGUUCUAUGAAUUGUAAACUUCUUUUGUGCAGGAAUAAAGUGGGUUACGUGUAACCUUUUGUAUGUACUGUACGAAUAAGGAUCGGCUAACUCCGUGCCAGCAGCCGCGGUAAUACGGAGGAUCCGAGCGUUAUCCGGAUUUAUUGGGUUUAAAGGGUGCGUAGGUGGAUUGAUAAGUCAGCGGUGAAAGUUUGCAGCUUAACUGUAAAAUUGCCGUUGAAACUGUCGGUCUUGAGUGCAAAUGAGGUAGGCGGAAUGUGUUGUGUAGCGGUGAAAUGCUUAGAUAUAACACAGAACUCCGAUUGCGAAGGCAGCUUACUGGGAUGCAACUGACACUGAUGCACGAAAGCGUGGGUAUCAAACAGGAUUAGAUACCCCUGUAGUCC